GUGCUCACUUCUGCAGCACAUAUACUAAAAUAGAAACCAUACAGAGAAUACUAGCACAGCCCCUGUACAAGAGUGACACCCAUGGUACCUUCUAAUUUGU
rnacentral:snRNA from 1 species